rnacentral:tRNA from 1 species
UGUGGCAGAAUAGUGCAAUGGACUUAAGUCCCAUAUAUAAAAUUAAAAUUUUUGUUAAAA